CUGGUUGAUCCUGCCAGUAGUCAUAUGCUUGUCUCAAAGAUUAAGCCAUGCAUGUCUAAGUUUAAGCAAUAAACAGUGAAACUGCGAAUGGCUCAUUAAAUCAGUCAUAGUUUAUUUGAUGGUACCUUACUACAUGGAUAACUGUGGUAAUUCUAGAGCUAAUACAUGCUGAAAAAUCCCGACUUCUGGAAGGGAUGUAUUUAUUAGAUCCAAAACCAAUGGCCUUCGGGUCUCCUUGGUGAAUCAUGAUAACUGCUCGAAUCGCAUGGCCUUGCGCCGGCGAUGCUUCAUUCAAAUAUCUGCCCUAUCAACUUUCGAUGGUAGGAUAUAGGCCUACCAUGGUGAUGACGGGUAACGGGGAAUAAGGGUUCGAUUCCGGAGAGAGGGCCUGAGAAACGGCCCCUCAGGUCUAAGGACACGCAGCAGGCGCGCAAAUUAUCCCCUGGCAACACUUUGCCGAGAUAGUGACAAUAAAUAACAAUGCAGGGCUCUU
rnacentral:rRNA from 1 species